rfam:Picea glauca, whole genome shotgun sequence.
AUGUACAUUCAUACAUCAUAGUGUUACUGCACCGGAUCCCAUUAGAAUUUCACAGUUAAGCGUGCUCGGGCUAGAGUAGUACAGGGAUGGGUGACAACCUAGGAAUUCCUAGUGUUUUACAUG